GAUGAACGCUAGCGGCAGGCCUAAUACAUGCAAGUCGGACGGGAUCCAUUGAUAGCUUGCUAUCAAUGGUGAGAGUGGCGCACGGGUGCGUAACGCGUGAGCAACCUGCCUCCAUCAGGGGGAUAGCCUCUCGAAAGAGAGAUUAACACCGCAUAAUAUCAACAGUUCGCAUGUUCAGUUGAUUAAAUAUUUAUAGGAUGGAGAUGGGCUCGCGUGACAUUAGCUAGUUGGUAGGGUAACGGCUUACCAAGGCGACGAUGUCUAGGGGCUCUGAGAGGAGGAACCCCCACACUGGUACUGAGACACGGACCAGACUCCUACGGGAGGCAGCAGUAAGGAAUAUUGGUCAAUGGGCGGAAGCCUGAACCAGCCAUGCCGCGUGCAGGAUGACUGCCCUAUGGGUUGUAAACUGCUUUUGUCCAGGAAUAAACCUAAAUACGAGUAUUUAGCUGAAUGUACUGGAAGAAUAAGGAUCGGCUAACUCCGUG
rnacentral:rRNA from 1 species